GUAAACCCAAGGUUUCCAGGGGAAGGUUCGUCCGCCCUGGGUUAGUCGGGACCUAAGCUGAGGCCGAAAGGCGUAGGGGAUGGACAACAGGUUGAUAUUCCUGUACUACCGAUAACCGUUUGAGAGAAGGGAUGACACAGUAGGAUAAGCUAAGCACACUGUUGGUUAUGUGUGCCCAAGCAUUGAGGCAGUCAAAGUAGGCAAA
rnacentral:rRNA from 1 species